rnacentral:rRNA from 1 species
UACGUAGGGUGCAAGCGUUGUCCGGAAUUACUGGGCGUAAAGAGUUCGUAGGCGGUUUGUCGCGUCGUUUGUGAAAACCAGCAGCUCAACUGCUGGCCUGCAUCCGAAACUGCCCGACUAGAGGUAGGUAGGGGAGAUCGAAUUCCUGGUGUAGCGGUGAAAUGCGCAGAUAUCAGGAGGAACACCGGUGGCGAAGGCGGAUCUCUGGGCCUUACCUGACGCUGGAGGCGCGAAAGCUAGGGGAGCAAACAGG